CUACGUAGGGUGCAAGCGUUGUUCGGAAUCAUUGGGCGUAAAGCGCGUGUAGGUUGCUAGAUAAGUCAGGUGUGAAAGCCCUCGGCUCAACCGGGGAAGUGCAUCUGAAACUAUCUGGCUAGAGGACGGCAGAGGGAGGUGGAAUUCCUAGUGUAGAGGUGAAAUUCGUAGAUAUUAGGAGGAACACCGGCGGCGAAGGCGGCCUCCUGGACCGUUCCUGACACUGAGACGCGAAAGCGUGGGUAGCAAACAGAAUUAGAAACCCCGGUAGUCC
rnacentral:rRNA from 1 species